GACGAACGCUGGCGGUGUGCUUAACACAUGCAAGUCGAACGGUAAGGCCCUUUCGGGGGUACACGAGUGGCGAACGGGUGAGUAACACGUGAGUAACCUGCCCUCAUCUCUGGGAUAACAGUCGGAAACGGUUGCUAAUACUGGAUAUGAGCUUGCAAGGCAUCUUGUGGGUUGGAAAGAUUUUUUUGGUUGGGGAUGGACUCGCGGCCUAUCAGCUUGUUGGUGAGGUAGCGGCUCACCAAGGCUUCGACGGGUAGCCGGCCUGAGAGGGCGACCGGCCACAUUGGGACUGAGAUACGGCCCAAACUCCUACGGGAGGCAGCAGUGGGGAAUAUUGCACAAUGGACGGAAGUCUGAUGCAGCAACGCCGCGUGCGGGAUGACGGCCUUCGGGUUGUAAACCGCUUUCAAUUGUGACGAAGCUUUUUGUGACGGUAGCAGUAGAAGAAGCACCGGCUAACUACGUG
rnacentral:rRNA from 1 species